rnacentral:rRNA from 1 species
AUAUUAGUCAUGCAUAGCAUAUCAAUAAGCGGAGGAAAAGAAACUAACAAGGAUUCCCCUAGUAACGGCGAGUGAAGCGGGAAGAGCUCAAAUUUGAAAUCUUAAAGGGUUUCCCUUUACGAAUUGUAGUUUAAAGAAGUGUUUUCUGUUGGAGUUUCGGUAAAAGUUCUUUGGAAUAGGACAUCAUAGAGGGUGAGAAUCCCGUAUUUGACCGUUACUUUCCAGCUGUGUGAUACACUUUCAAAGAGUCGGAUUGUUUGGGAAUGCAGUCCAAAAUGGGUGGUAAAUUUCAUCUAAAGCUAAAUAUUGGCGAGAGACCGAUAGCGAACAAGUACCGUGAGGGAAAGAUGAAAAGAACUUUGAAAAGAGAGUUAAACAGUACGUGAAAUUGUCAAAAGGGAAGCGUUUGACACCAGUGUUGUUUAGUUGAAAAUCAAUUCAAUAAUUUUUGAUUUUGAGUAGUAUUGACUUCAUCAGCUUGCUGCUUUCUUUUCAGAAAUUAUUGAAUGCACUUUUCAGUUAACAAGUCAACAUCAAUUUCUUUUGUUGUAAAAGGGUAAGAGGAAGGUGGCUUACGCUUCGGCGUAAGUGUUUAUAGCCUUUUACCUCUGCAAUCGGAGAGAUUGAGGACAGCAGCGUAGACUCUUCGGGGUUAGAUACACUUGUGCUAAGCUAUAGCCUUGUAUAGACAACUUGUUGACUAUGCUCAGUCAUGUAGCUUACUCGCUUGUGCUAUUUUACCUACGCUUAGGAUGUUGAUCUCUCACAGUCGAGC